CCAAAAGAAUUGAAAGCAGUGUCUCAAAGAGACAUUUGCACACCAACAUUUAUAGCAGCAUUGUUCACAAGAGCCAAAAGGUGGAAGCAACCCAAGCAUCACUCGGUGG